ensembl:lncRNA
CAUCCCUCUGGGUCGUCCCAGGCGCCAGCCCCAAGCAUCUCUGAAAUGCUAGUUCUUUUUUUCUGGUAGUUGGAACUUGCUCUUCUGAUUGAAUUUGUGAGUUUUAGCAGCACUAGAGGGCAGACUUGCCUCUAGACUAUAAGGUGCUGUGAAUGGAUUUAGCCAAAUGUCUUCACUAUAUUCAGUCCCAAUUAAUGGAUAGGUUUGUCUUGCAAGUGACUAGUGUCCUAUCUACUAUGUUUUUUCAGCUCCUGGGAAACCAUAAAAUUAUGAUUUUAUCCUAUGAUUGAUUUUAAUAUCCUAGAUUUUAAUCUAGAAUCAGUAGUUGAUAUUAAUAUGUAUUUGCACAUGAAGUCCCAAGAAAUAUACCUGUAGCUUACUACAGUUAUAUUAAGAUCUUAUAUAGAGCAUCCACACAUACAUUAACAUAAGAGACUUUGAAGCCAGUCAGAAGAAAUACUGGUCAUGAAAACAUUUAUUCAGGAAAUGUAUUGAGCUAUUAACUUUGUGCUAUCAAUUGUGAUAAAGAGUUGGGACUACAAAAAUAAGUAAAAUACAGUCCCUGCUUACAUAAGUUUUGGUGUAGCAUAUUAUAGCACUUAAUAUCUUGUGUUUAUUUAAAUAUCUUGUUUCUUCAGUGAUAGAAGUCCUGACUCAUUUAUUUUUGGUACUUCCAAGUGCCCAUCACAGUGCCUGGUACUUAAGUUAGUUCAUAGUGUAUGGAUAAAUUAAUGAGAAGAGACAGAAAAAGAAAAAAAACAGAGGGCUUUUGGAAAAAUCGAUUGUCUUUUCAUAGUUUUUUCCUUGCAGAAAAGACCUCCUGUUAACAACAAAAAUGGUUAUGGAGAUUAUUCCAACACUCCAUCUGCUCCCACUCUUGCUAAUAGUCUUCAUCUCCACCCAUGGUCAAGAGCUAUGAAUAAAAAUAUUAAUUAAAAAAUGACAUUCAUAGAGGUCUAGCCUUUUUAUAGUCCCUGAAGUGGAAAAGAAAGAAAAAUGCGAAGAUGGAUGACUCCAAUCUGGCUCUUGUCAGUCUGAGAAGUUUGAAGUGAAACAGUUUUCUGGAAUGAGGGCACUCUUCACCCAGUAAGUUUGCCCACACAUGAUCCUGCUCUCUAGACCUUUUAGGGUCCCUACUUCUACAUGCUAGUUCCUCAGUUUUCUUACCGAGAACAGAAUAAUAUUCCUUCCCUCGUAAGAUUAUUUUGAGGAUGAAAUUAAAUAAUGCAUACAGUAAACAUGAGUUACUUUGGUAUCUGGACAGCAGACCAGUUGGACUUGGUAGGAUGGAUUCGUGUUUGUUAGUGUCAUUCAUUACAUAGUAGAAUUAAGUCAUGGUUCUCAGACAGGAAAGAAUCUGCCUGCAAAUGCAGGAGACUGGGUUUGAACCCUGGGUCAGGAAGAUCUGGAGAAGGGACUGGCUACUCACUCCAGUACUCUUGCCUGGAGAAUCCCAUGGACGGAGGAGCCCGGUGGGCUACAGUCCAUGGGGUCGCAAAGAGUCAGACACAACUGAGCAACUUCACUUCACUGACACCAAGUAGUAAGCACUCAGCAAUGUUAGCUCCUGUAGCUGUCUUUAAAAGUGGACCAAUUUGAUCUUACAGGAAGGACUCUUUAUUCUUUUUGAGACAAAUAGUUAAAAAUUAUAAAGCCAAAAUACUAUGUAUUAUUAUUUGACUCUCUUAAACAAUUGUUUAAUUAAGUAGCAGGAUUCUUUUUCAAAAGAACUUUCACUUAGAAGCACAAUAUUUAAAGCAGAGCAAACUGAUAUGCUCUGGUUGAAGCAGGAAAAGUCCUCUCUCACCACCCGCACUGCCGCUGUCACUUCUGAGAAACCUCAAAGGAACUCCUAGGUCUCUCACUUGUGUAUUUUGAAAUCUACUGUGCCCGCAUUUGCAUUUUGGCCUGUCAAACGUGAAUAAAGUAAUAGAAUGAGAAGGCUCAGACUCUAGAAAUUUCUGUUGUCUGCAUAAAAGUAAAAAUGUGGCUGACAUUGUUUUAGGAUGUAUUAAGAUGAGAUGUAUUUUAGCGUCAUUGGAAAUGUUUAUGAUAAAGUGUAUGAUCAUUCUGUUUUAGGUUCCUUAUCUAGACUUCAUGGCUUCCCAGGUGGCGCUAAUGGUAAAGAACCCGCCUGCCAAUGCAGGAGACUUAAGAGACACGGGUUCGAUCCCUGGGUCGGGAAGAUCUCCUAGAGGAGGAAAUGGCAACCCACUCCAGUAUUCUUGCCUGGAGAAUUCCAUGGACAGAGGAGCCUGGCGAGCUACAGUCCAUGGGGUCACAAAGAGUCAGACCUGACUGAACGAUUUAGCAUGUGCGUAUCUAGAGUUGGUCUAAAAUGAAGUGAUGUGUAUGAACUGUCAAGAGAGAUUUGCAACUGAUAUACGCACGACUGGCUGAGGCUUCAUUCACUGUGGUCCCUUAUUACAUAUAAAAAAGAGUUUAAUUCCUACUCUCUACUUUUGAGAAUUAUAAUCUUUAAAGGAAACAGCUCUGUUAACAGGGACAGUUAGUCAUAAGUGUUCCUCACUCAAUGUCCAUACAUAAUAAGGGCUUAAUAGAUGUUUAUUGAAUGAAAACAGUUACAUGUCUGUCUGCUUUCAAGUUACUUGAAAGGCCAUAUUUUAUCUUUUUUGUGCCCAGUGGUAGCACAUGGCCAGUAAAUGAGUGAAUGUACACAUGAAAACAUAAAAAUUUUACAUAUCUAUAUUCCCAUUAGACUAAGGCUCUUGAGGGAAGAAACCAUGUCUUAGAAUAGCGCCUCACUAAUAGCAAGUUGUCAGAAAUGUCUGUAGAACUGACUAGAACUUAAAUUUGAAUAGUAUCAGAGUAGGUUCACAAAACCUGACACAGUGCCUUCUGAAUACACGCUAAAACUUUCGUAAUUGACAGAGAUCCCACUAAGCAUUUUCUGAGUUAGGGCCAGUUGGAUGACAUGAGCAAGCUAUCAGAGCUCAGAGGAGUGAGAGUUCUUCUCAGAGUCGGUACGAUUUGAUAAAGGUGGAUGUCCUUUGGUUUCAGACAGCUGGAGAGGAGAGAGGCUAGGAACAGGGAGACCGGUAAGGAAGGCAUGAUGUGGCAAGAGCCCUGGGCUCGAACAGAAAAGUGGGUUCGAAAUAAACGUUUGUUGAAUGACAAAGAAAAAGUGGUGUUGAUUAAUGAAAAGAAUGGAAGCCCUGGAACCUCAGCCCCUGCAGUCUGCCAGCGAUUUGCUGACUCUUAUAGGAAGAAAAGUAAAUAUCCGAAGCCACCAAAUCUCAUGAUCAGAAGAAAGACUUUCUGGAUCAGUUGGAAACUCCUAGGGGAUGCUAAAGUUAUAUCAGAGGUGAAUAAGUCAUGAGGUUUUCAUGCUGACAUUAUUUCUAAGAUUGCUGCCGUACUGAGGAGAUAAACCACAAGGUACACCAUCCAGAACUUUUAUGAAAAAAAAGCUUCCUGAAGGAUGAAUGCUUCAUUUGCUUUAACUGCUUGCAUAUGUACUUACUAAUGAGUCAUUUUUUUCUUAAUUGGUAAUAUGCUUUAAAUUGGUCAUAAGAUAUUACAUCAAGUAGUCUAAUGUUACACAACAGUUGAAAAAAAGUUGACAGGCCACCAGCUGAAUAAAGGAAAAUGUGAUUCUUUUUGAGCUUAAAAUGUAUGAAUCGGUAAUAGUUACCUUGGUCUUUAUGUUGUAAGAUUGGAUUUAUUGAAACUUCUCCCUUAUGUUCAAAAAUCAGAGCCCCUUUCUUUGCCUCUGAAAU